AUGGGGUCGUUACGCCCCCAGCCCGGUGCCUGGUGCUGCGGGAAAUGCCCCCCUUGGGUCGGGCACGCGGGCGCCGUGUGCCUGGGCUUCUCUGUUCCUCGCUCGCUUGGCACUUCGUUACCGCUUGAUGAGAUCUUUCCAUUCUUGGCAACCUCUCGGGCCCGAGCAGGGUUUCGCGUGCCGCGCGGGGCCGCUGGCGGAGGGCCCGGCGUGGGGCCGGGCUGCUCGGUCCCUGCCCUUCGCUGCAGGGCUGCCCUGUACGGCGCUGCCCUCCGCUUCCCCUGCUCUGCCGGGGGGAAGGUGGCGGGGGCAGGAGAGGCCUUUUGGGGUCAGGAUGUGCUUGCAAGACCCGGUGAGGGGUGCUGGGGACGGCAGGGGUGCUGCCGAUGCCUCCUUCGGCCUCCGUUUCGGUUACUGGGCCUCUGCAGCGCCCGCCCGGCCUCCCCGCACCGCCCUCCCCGGCCGUGCCCCGUGGUGCCUCUGCAGGAUGGAUGCUGCAAGUGCUCACAGCGCCUGGGUCUGAAAAAAAUGGGAUUUGAAGGAGAAAAACGAGUCCCCGGGGAUGAGGCCCGAGCCGACUCCCUCCCGUGGCACGCCCGGCCUCGGCACCCCCUCGGGAACGGCCGCGCUGCCGGGUCGAGCGCCCAGCGUCUGCGUCCUGGCCUGGAAACUCCUCGAAGAGGAGCUCUGCGAGCUGCCCUACUUCUCCCCGCUCACGGCGUCAAAGCAAAGCCUUCGGCGCUCGGUCCCUGCCCCUGGCCACGCGCCGCGCUGCUGGCGCAGAGCUGCUGCCGGAGCUGCUCCCCGAGGCGGGCGGCAGGUUCGGGCGGGCGUCCCCAAGCUCGCUCCGCGGCCGCUGCGGCGUCCGCACGGCUCCGAUCGCCUCCGAUCGCCGCCCCGCGGCGCUGGAACGAGGAGGGGCGCAGAAACGUGCACGGGGCGAGCGGGGAACUCGUCCCGAGGCCGGCAGCGCUGCCGCCUGGCCGGGCCCCCCCGCUCCCUUCCGCCGGGCCCCGGCCCCGCGCCGCCGGGCUCUGA
rnacentral:lncRNA from 1 species